rnacentral:rRNA from 1 species
UAUCUCUGUAGAGUCUGCAUAUCAAUAAGCGGAGGAAAAGAAACUAACAAGGAUUCCCUUAGUAACGGCGAGUGAAGCGGGAAGAGCUCAAAUUUGAAAUCUUCAAGGUUCUACCUUGACGAAUUGUAGUUUAAAGAAGUGUUUUCUGUUAGAUGAGUAGGCAAAAGUUCCUUGGAAUGGGACAUCAUAGAGGGUGAGAAUCCCGUAUUUGGUUAUUCAUUCUAGCUUUGUGAUAGCACUUUCAAAGAGUCGGAUUGUUUGGGAAUGCAGUCCAAAAUGGGUGGUAAAUUUCAUCUAAAGCUAAAUAUUGGCGAGAGACCGAUAGCGAACAAGUACCGUGAGGGAAAGAUGAAAAGAACUUUGAAAAGAGAGUUAAACAGUACGUGAAAUUGUCAAAAGGGAAGCGUUUGACACCAGUGUUGUUUUUCCGAAAAUCAAUUACGAAUGGCUUGAUUUUGUGUUGUAUUGACCUUAUCAGCUUUCUUCACUUUUUUCGAGUCUUUCUUAAUGCACUUUUCGGUUAACAAGUCAACAUCAAUUUCUUUUGUUGUAAAAGAGUAUUCGGAAGGUGGCUUUCUUUUCGGAGAAAGUGUUUAUAGCCCUAUACUUCUACAAUCGGAGAGAUUGAGGUCUGCAGCGUAGAUCCUUCGGGGUUAGAUACACUUGUGCUAAGUUGUAGCUUUUCAUAGACAACUUGUUGACUAUGUUUAGUCAUGCGGCUUACUCGCUUGUGCUAUUUUACCUACGCUUAGGAUGUUGAACUACUGAGACAUAGA